CCCUUAGAUGUUCGGGGCCGCACGCGCGCUACACUGAAGGAAUCAGCACGUCUUUCUCCUUGUCCGAAAGGACUGGGUAACCCGCUGAACCUCCUUCGUGCUAGGGAUUGGGGCUUGUAAUUCUUCCCCAUGAACGAGGAAUUCCCAGUAAGCGCGAGUCAUAAGCUCGCGUUGAUUACGUCCCUGCCCUUUGUACACACCGCCCGUCGCUACUACCGAUUGGAUGGUUUAGUGAGAUCCUCGGAUUGGUCCCGGCGCGGCCUCUGGUCGUGCCGGAGUGCCGAAAAGAAUGUCGAACGUGAUCAUCUAGAGGAAGUAAAAGUCGUAACA
rnacentral:rRNA from 1 species